rnacentral:rRNA from 1 species
AACGAACGCUGGCGGCAUGCCUAACACAUGCAAGUCGAACGAGACCUUCGGGUCUAGUGGCGCACGGGUGCGUAACGCGUGGGAACCUGCCCUUAGGUUCGGAAUAACUCCCCGAAAGGGGUGCUAAUACCGGAUAAUGUCUUCGGACCAAAGAUUUAUCGCCUUUGGAUGGGCCCGCGUUGGAUUAGCUAGUUGGUAGGGUAAAAGCCUACCAAGGCGACGAUCCAUAGCUGGUCUGAGAGGAUGAUCAGCCACACUGGGACUGAGACACGGCCCAGACACAUACGGGAGGAGGCAGGGGGGGAUAGGGGAGAAGGGAGUAAAGUCUGAGCAAGCUAGGACGCGGGAAGGAUGAACGCGUGAGGGUAGAAAAGGGAUUGUACAAGGGAGGACAAGGACAGGACCGAAAGAAUAAGAUAAGGCUAACUCAGGG